rnacentral:rRNA from 1 species
GCAGCGCCGCGGGAAUACGAAGGGUGCAAGCGUUAAUCGGAAUUACUGGGCGUAAAGCGUGCGUAGGCGGUUUGUUAAGUCUGCUGUGAAAUCCCCGGGCUCAACCUGGGAAUGGCAGUGGAUACUGGCAAGCUAGAGUGUGUCAGAGGAUGGUGGAAUUCCCGGUGUAGCGGUGAAAUGCGUAGAGAUCGGGAGGAACAUCAGUGGCGAAGGCGGCCAUCUGGGACAACACUGACGCUGAGGCACGAAAGCGUGGGGAGCAAACAGGAUUAGAUACCCGGGUAGUCCCUGUCUCUUAUACA